ACUCAAAUGAAUUGACGGGGACCCGCACAAGCGGUGGAGCAUGUGGUUUAAUUCGAUGCUAAGCGGAGCACCUCACCAAGAUUUGACAUCCUGCUGAAAGGCACUGGAAACAGAGCCCCUCUUCGGACAGCAGAGACAGGUGCUGCACGGUUGUCGUCAGCUCGUGUUGUGAAAUGUACGGUUAAGUCCGAUAACGAGCGCAACCCCUAUUGCCAGUUACAUGUGUCUGGCGAGACUGCCGUGGUUAACACGGAGGAAGGUGGGGAUGACGUCAAAUCAGCGUGGCCUUUAUAUCUUGGGCGACACACGUGCUACAAUGGGUGGGUCACAAUGGGUUGCCAAGCAGUAAUGCGGAGCUAAUCCCAUCAAAACCACCCCAAGUUCGGAUUGAGGGCUGCAACUCGCCCUCAUGAAGUUGGAAUCGCUAGUAACCGCGCAUCAGCCAUGGUGCGGUGAAUACGUUCUCGGGUCUUGUACACACCGCCCGU
rnacentral:rRNA from 1 species